rnacentral:misc_RNA from 1 species
ACACACGCGCACGCAAAUCCCUUCCGGCCUCGCUCCGCUUGUCAGGGUUAGGACGGCGUUUAAUCAUCAGUCCAGUGCAAGCGCCUUAUUAUCAAGACCAUCUGACAGCCGCGCCAGAACGAGAGAUGUAGAGACCAUGGAUGAAGCGCUAACUCCACUCUAGAACCUUGUGAGAUCAUCAGUAGAAAGAGACAUUCUAAUCCGGACCAGAACUUUAGCCACAGCCAUUAACCGUAGAAUUGGUGUGGAGUUGAAUUCUUGUUCCGAUUUUAGAAGGUUUUCUUUAUUCUGGGUCUUCUUUGUUUCUGUGAUUCAAGCCUUUGACUGUUUUUGGAGGAGAUAAAAAGGAAACGGUCCUUGAGGAUUUUGCCGACGAUUGUUCUCAGUAGACACUUACCGCUGUCUUGAUCCCUUAUGACUUUUUGGAAUUUGAAUGUUUGACCUAACGAAAUGUCUGUGAUAAAACGAGAUCUAUACACAUCCAGAAAUCCAAUCUAUACAGCAUUAUAUUUUAUUCUGACUGUUCAGUUCUAUGGAGUAUUAAUUUUUGCGGGACAUGUAAACGAAAAAGAACAAACAUACACGUUAAAUAUACCCUGGCACAUAGGAAACCUUCACCCACGACAUGUGCAAUACACAGUUCACGGAAUUCCAGAAAUCCAAACCCUCCGACUCAAACGGAACGACAACAUUAAUAUCAACGUGCCCUCCUGUAUCAUUGAUCAGGGUUUUACUAUUUGUGAAUACGGAAAUAUACAAGAUAUUGCCUUCUAUCACACUACCGAUAAACAAGGGGCGUUUGCAAUCACACUGGACCGCACGGCACCAACGAACACACAGACACAACUUGAAGGCGUUUUGGUCUCCGGAAAAGACGCGUUUGUGUUGGAGCCAAAUGGUCCCCUGGGACACAGCCUGACCCCCGCCCACAACCACAGGAUAAUGAAGAGGAGUUCGUACAUCAACAGCCAGUACCUGGACAAUUGGCAUUCGUCGACAAACCGGCAUGAUAUGACAUACAUGGACAGACGGAUGGUACAUAUCUCAGACAGACAAACCUUCCAAGACUUCCAGGACAACAUGCUUCAUGACGUCAACUACAACACCAAACGCCCGUAUGUGGUGGAGGUGCUAGUCCUGAUCGACAACAGUUUAUACCAAAAAUUCUACAAGAGACACGGCGGUGAUGAACUUGAAACCAUGACAAAACUCAAAUACUACUUUGCGCACAUUGUCAACGGGAUGGACCUUCGUUACUCUUCCAUUAACAAUACAGGGUUUACCAUCUCUAUUCGUCUGGCUGGUUUCUUCAUCGCAAAGAAUGCCAGCGACCUUCCGUUUGUGAUGACGUACAGACAGGGAGGGGACAGGCGCUCGAAGGUGGACGGAAGUUCCACGCUUCUGGGGCUGACCAACUUCCUGAAGUCCAAAAAGGAUUUACCACACCACGACCACGCUAUGUUGUUCACUGAGUACGAUGCUACAAAUGGAAGAGGAUACAUAUUAGGAACGAGUUACCUAAGUGGUAUCUGUACCGCAAUGAGCACGUUGUUAAUUGUUGACCAUGGCUCAUAUAACUCUGCUGGAAUUGCUGCGCAUGAAUUAGGACACAAUUUGGGAGUAAUUUACCAUGAUGGCGACGACAACCCUGUAUCCAUGCAUUGUCCACGUGAGCUUAACUACAUCAUGGCACCAUCAUCGGCGAUUAUAAAUUCAAAAACCAAAGAAUACAGCUUUAAGUUUUCCGACUGUUCCAUAGCUCAAAUGGAAGACCAUGUUAAUUUAUUGACACAAAGGGCCCGGAUCUUCCGUAGAAAGGAAAUGUUUAGCAGACGACGCAGGUCCGUCGUACGCUACAAUGGUAGUCAAGCCCUAUCUCACUAUUCCUCCAGGACAGUUAGAAGACGUCCAUACACAGUGUAGGCAGUUGUACGGAAACGAAUCAUUUAUGUGUCCACCAGCCACAACUGACGAAAUGUGCUACAAAAUGUACUGUUUUGACCCCGGAAGGAAAAUGUGUAUAACCGGAAGUGAACAAAGAGCCGCCAUGGGAACUUCAUGUGGAGACAAAAAAUGGUGUAAACUUGGAAAGUGUGUUCGAGAUGAAAAAGCUCCCACUGUACCAGAUAACUGUCCUUUCCCGGACGUCCCGCCGCCUAGAGCCUCGUGUAAGGAGGAUGCCACGCCCAUGCAAUGCCAAGAUCCAAUAUUUUAUAAAAGAUGCUGCCAAUCCUGUAAUAGAAUUCAUUAUGCGCCCACGCCGCCUUCGCCCACGCGUUCUGUGCCUGUGAACUGUCAAGACAAUCUGUUCGUCAGAAUAAACAGUCUGCCUUGUGAGGUGUUUGUUGCCAAAAACGGUCUGUGUGACAGGCCAAUUGUGCAACAACAUUGCUGCGGAAGUUGCCAAGCAUGGAAUGACUUAAAGAAAUAAACCAUAUACCCGG